ACUAUCGUUCGCGAUGGUACAUCUGUCAACUUUAACAAUAAAGAGAAGAUUAGCAUUGUCCUUGCAUAAGGAUGAUACGCUAUACAAAAUGAUUUAACAUUACUCU
rfam:Metschnikowia bicuspidata var. bicuspidata NRRL YB-4993 METBIscaffold_4, whole genome shotgun sequence.